rnacentral:lncRNA from 1 species
CCCUCUGCGUUGACUUCCGCCUAAUCGUAGAAGAAGAGGAAACAAAAACCAGAAACAGGUAAAACUAAUGAAACGAAUCUACUCUUGAGUGUUCCACAAGUAUCCAAAUAUAUUAAAGGUCUGUUUUUUUUUAACCUAAUGUUACACAUUGCUAGAUCUUCGAGUAUCGGCGCCGGAAUCAGCUCGCCGGGAAAUGGGGAAAGCUAGAGGAGUUAACAGCGGCGCCGGAGAGAGCUCUCUCGGUUACCUUUUUGGAUCCGGUGAGUCUGUUUCCAAACCGAACAUGCCCACCACCGCCACCACGACAACACCAACGACUACCACCGGAGAUAAAGCCAAGACGGAGGAGGAGAAGAAGAAACAGAUGUCGGCUGGUGUGAGAGGAAGCCCUAAUAAUUACAUCAGAACAGAGGGACAAAACUGUGGCAACUUCCUCACGGUAAUAAUAAUAAUAAUAGAAAAGAUCUUUGUGUUUUGUAAGAAUUAGAAUUCGAAAACUUAAUUAAACAAGAAAAUGUGUUUUUUUUUUUGUUUUUGGUUGAUUUUGAGAAACAGGAACGACCAUCGACGAAGGUUCAUGCAGCACCAGGUGGAGGAUCUUCUCUGGGUUACUUGUUUGGAUCUGGAUCUGGCAAAUGAUUUGUUUCUGCAGCAUUUUGAACCGUUUGAAGAAAGUGUAAAAAUAAAUUGUAACUUUAUUUCUUAUUCGUGGUGAUCAAUGUUAUGUUCAUGAGGAUUGUUUUGGAUUUGACCAUUUUCUUAUGUUCUUGCAAAAGGAUUUGUCUAUCAAUGGUUCAAAGCUAGAAACUUUCUUAAUUUAGACAUCUGGAUCUUGCUGCUGGAUCUGAAUCUUUUUUUAUCCAAUCUAUUGUGUAUGAUGAGUAAAGCUUAGAAUUAACUUACUUAACAGCUUUAUGAAUCUCCACCAUUUUGGGGUAAUGUCUCGGACCACUUCAACACUUGUCUUGUCUGAACAUGAUUGUUCCAAGUCAAAACGAUUUGGUUGUUGUAUUCCCCAUGGAUUCAUUGAAUUGACGAAAAGGUUGCAGCUUUCAUGAAACUUACUGUAGAUUAUUCAUCAUAACAGCUUCUUGAAAAGUUUCUGCUCAUUACAGUACAUAUAGCCCAUUGAUCAAAGAACCUUUGCAACUGGAGAGCUAUAGAUCUUCAUUUAUGAGACAAUUUAUCAGUCUUCACUCUUGUGCAGAGGUUAAAGGACGUGGAAAGCAAUUAACACUUGGACAAAUGAAAUAAUUGCUUAGGAAGAUAGUUAUGGUAAAAGUUGGGAGAUAUGUUUAUCUCAGAAGAUGACUCAUUACCACUUUCUUUUUGUCUUCAACCCCAAGUUACCUUCUCACUUCUCAUCUCUGAAUCAUUAGAGUUCAGUAUCUUAAGACUGUAAAGGCAGCUGAGAUGUUGUGUUCGGACAAGAACACGUCACUUUCUGUUGCUGUUAUACUAUCAUUCACCAUAAAACAUUGCUUAAAGUUAUGGGAAAACAAGAAAGUAUAAAUUUAGAGAAUUGCAACAACAAGUUGGUAAACAAGCCAAUCUUCAGACCCAAAAGACUAAUUUACAGAAGAUGAGGCUCUUCUUCUGCUUCUGCUUCUUCUUCAUGAUCAUCUUUAGCACAUCAUGUGAGUUCUGGAUAUUUAUUUUUAUCCACAUCAACUUAUAUCUCUGAUCCUCUGAUCUUUUUUUCUUUCUACCAGCUGCUUAUGAUCCAUUGGAUCCUAAUGGGAACAUUACAUUAAAAUGGGACAUCAUGUCCUGGACAGCAGAUGGUUAUGUGGUAAGAACCCUCUCCGCGCUUGUGCACACAGUGUUUGAAACUUCACACAAUCUCUCACCAUCUCUAUACAUGCAUUUGCAGGCAACUGUAACCAUGAACAACUUCCAAAUCUACCGGCACAUACAAAACCCUGGCUGGACACUAGGCUGGGCAUGGGCCAAGAAAGAAGUGAUUUGGUCAAUGGUUGGUGCACAGACAACAGAACAAGGAGACUGUUCCAAGUUCAAAGGAAAUGUACCUCACUGCUGUAAGAAAAUCCCUACAGUCGUUGACCUCUUGCCGGGUGUUCCUUACAACCAACAGUUCUCAAACUGUUGCAAAGGCGGUGUGGUUGGAGCUUGGGGUCAAGAUCCAUCAUCUGCUGUAUCGCAGUUUCAAGUUAGUGUUGGUUUGGCUGGAACUACGAACAAGACUGUUAAGCUUCCUAAGAACUUCACGUUGCUUGGUCCUGGGCCUGGUUACUCUUGUGGUCCUGCCAAAAUAGUGCCGUCUACCGUUUUUUUCACUACUGACAAAAGGAGGAAGACGCAAGCUUUGAGUAAGUACACUAUAUAUCAUUCAUCUAUAAUGACCAAUGUUCUAAAAAUUGGUCGAGGCUACAAAUCUCAUGAACAAACGAUUUUCUUAAAAUCCGAUUUGUGCAUCUUGAAUUGGUUUAAGCUGUUCCAAACCAGUUAAAAUCGAUCUAAAUUAAUCUAAUUCAAUCUAAAUAGGUGUAAAUAGGUUGAAUCAAUUAACAAUGUUAGUUAAAUACACAAGUUUGUCUAGUUUCCUUUUUUUGUAUAUCUAAUUUUUAUAAUUCAUCACACUAAUUUUAUAAUUAAAUUUUAAAAUUAAAACAUAUAAUAAAUAAUAAUUUGUUAUCCCCUAGCCGCUAGGUCUAUAUAAACCGCUUAGUUACCGCUUAUUGCACCAUUGAUCUCUAAACAUCAUCUCAACCUUAUUGCCUAUGCAGUGACAUGGAAUGUAACGUGCACAUACUCACAGUUUCUAGCGAGAAAGCAUCCAAGUUGCUGCGUCUCCUUCUCUUCUUUCUACAACGACACCAUAACUCCUUGUCCGUCUUGUGCAUGUGGUUGCGAGAACAAAAAGAGCUGCGUCAAGUGAGCAGAAAGAUAACACAAAUCACUUAAAAUACAUACUCCUUUUCUAAACAUUCUCAAAUAAUAUUCUUGCAGGGCUGAUUCCAAGAUUCUAACCAAGAAAGGUCUAAACACACCGAGAAAAGACAACGCCCCGUUGCUACAAUGCACACACCACAUGUGCCCCGUUAGAGUCCACUGGCACGUUAAAACUAACUACAAAGAGUACUGGCGUGUGAAGAUAGCCAUCACAAACUUCAAUUACCGGAUGAACCAUACGCUAUGGACUUUAGCAGUUCAGCAUCCAAAUCUCAACAAUGUGACUCAAGUUUUCAGCUUCGAUUACAAAUCAGUUGCUCCUUAUGGAUCCAUAAGUAAGUCUAUCCCUCUCUCUCUCUCUCGAACACUACAACUAUUCAGCCAAACAUCGAAAGACUGACACUAUAUGAUAUCUGUUUGUGCAGAUGAUACAGGAAUGUUCUUUGGAACGAAGUUUUACAAUGAUCUUUUGAUGGAAGCGGGGCCUUCAGGGAAUGUUCAGUCAGAGGUGUUGCUGCAGAAAGAUGAAAAGACUUUUACGUUCAAGCAAGGAUGGGCUUUUCCGAGGAAAGUUUACUUUAAUGGCGAUGAGUGUAUGUUGCCUCCACCAGAUGCGUACCCUUUUCUUCCAAACUCUGCACGAGCGAACUUGGCUUCUCUCUCGACACUGUCACUCACGGUUCUUCUUCUUGUUGUGUUCAUCUCAAGCUUGUGAUUUGAUCUGAUCGUUCUCAAAGACUGUAUUUUUUUGUUGGUAUUUUGAGUGUUGAGAUAAAUGUCGAAAACAGAGUUUUGUAAGAUAAAGAUGAUCGGAGAUGUUGGUCUCGUCUCGUCUAUGGUUCUGUAAGAAACAUGCUCUUAGAAAGAGUGAGAGGUUUAUAAUAGUAAAAUCCAAAGAACGUUUUCAAUGGGCCAAGAUAAGCGCAUUAUACUAUAGGCCCAAUUGAGGUCCGGCUUAGUUAAUGUUCACGUGUAUAAUUUUCGUUGGUUCGUAGAGGCGAAAGGUCAAGAACGGCGUUUUGUUCGGGGGAGACACUUUUUGUUGGUAGAUUUUUUCUCGAGAUUAGCUCUAUAAAAAGUCGUACUCUAUUUUUUUUUUUUUUGUUUUAAUUUGGUAUAGCAUUUGUUUAUUAUUUUAAACAUUUUCAAUUCAAUUUUGAGAUAUGAUCACAUAAUGUUUACCUAUACUAGAUUAUUUACCGCGCUACGCGCGGUUUGUCUUAUAUACAUCUAAUUUGCAUUUAUCUCUUGUAUUUUUUAUUUUAUUAUUGUUAAUGAUGAGAUAUGAAAAGAUUUUUGUCUCAAAAUUAUUUUUUGAUAGAAUAAAAUUUUAAAAAGUUAAUAUUCUACAUAUUUUUCUAUUUUUACAUAGAGUUUUUAAUUUAUAUGUGCAUAUUAUGUAUUAUAGUAUUUAAGUUUGUUUUUCACUUGAAAAUUAUUUUUUUUAAUACUAAACAGACUAAAACAAUAAUGGAGAAAAACAGUUUUGAUUUUUUUGGUGUUGUUCUCUUUCUUGGGGAACUCUACAUAAAUCUAUAUUUUAAUAUUUUGAUAUUUCAUUAGUGUUGUUGUGUAGAAUUUUUUUCUUGACUCUUAUAUAUCUCAUCUUUUAGACAUAGUUUUAAAAUAUUUUGUUAGAAAUGAAUAUUCAUUUCUCUUUCAAAUAUAAAAUAAAAAUAUUCUAAUUAAAAUGUGUACAAUAAUAAAUAACAACCAUAAAUUUUAUCAAAAGACAAAUGAGCUAUGUUAAAAUAAAAUUUUGCUUAAAAAUUGACAGUGGUAUGAGCAAAUAAUAUCAUAUAAAAGUAAAAGCAUAGUUAUUCUUAAAUUAAGUUCAUUGGAAAAUAAAAACAUCUGCAUGAAUGUGAUUAAUUUUUGAUUAGUUUUUUGUUUAACAUUUCUUUUAUUUUAAACUGAAUAAACGAAAAACCUUUGAGACUUCACAAAUUUCAUCCUCCAAUUUUUACGUGUGGUCUAUGAUAAAAUUAUCAAUUUGCUUUUCGUCAAUUUUUUCUGGUUAUUUUGCUAUUAAUUUAUAUGCAAAUUGUAAUUAUUUUGAAUACAUGUAAUACCUUUUUUGUCGAUAAACUGAGACCAGUCCCAGUUCUUAUUUAUAAAUAGUUUUAGUGGAAUCAUUUUGAGCCCAUGGAAACCAAUAAAGACCAGAUAGAUAGCUUAAGAUCCACGUAACCGCUCAAUACACAUUCUUGUUUUCUUGUAUUGGUUUGUUUAGUUGUAUACACGUACUACACUUUCAUGUAAAAUACUUAAAACCAAUCAUUUUCUUACGUACUAUAAAUAAUCAGGUAGACAGCAAUAGAAAGUGAAAUAAAUCGAUCGGAAUGUAUCAUGUACUAUAUUUAUGUCUAUGAAAAUGAACCACAAAAAGAACUAAUUAACGUCGAUUCAUGUGCAUCUUCUGCAUUGCAUUAAAAUCCCAAUUUGCUUUACUGCAUCACCUGAGCCGUCCUAUGAAGAUCACGCAUGACCGAGUUUACUUGCACUAUGUUGAAGAUUCUUUGUAAGCCUUUCCUCCGUAGCCUGAAUAAUUGUUUAAUAAAUCGUUUUUCGGAUUUCUCCGGAAAUUGAAAUCUGGACCUGCCGGUGUAUAAGCAUCAAGCAUCAAGCAUCAGUGAACUCUUAGGCAAACUAUUGGACCGAAGUGCUUCCACUAAUAAUAAACGGCUUUACGUGAUGCACCAACGACUUAAUAACCCCCACACGUGCCUACCAUAAGUUCAUGUCUUUCUCACCACCACACAAUGUCUUACACGUGUGUAUAAAUUCAUAUGUACAUGUAUGUAUCUGUACCUCCUUGUUCCUCUGUUUCUCCCUCUGCGUUGACUUCCGCCUAAUCGUAGAAGAAGAGGAAACAAAAACCAGAAACAGGUAAAACUAAUGAAACGAAUCUACUCUUGAGUGUUCCACAAGUAUCCAAAUAUAUUAAAGGUCUGUUUUUUUUUAACCUAAUGUUACACAUUGCUAGAUCUUCGAGUAUCGGCGCCGGAAUCAGCUCGCCGGGAAAUGGGGAAAGCUAGAGGAGUUAACAGCGGCGCCGGAGAGAGCUCUCUCGGUUACCUUUUUGGAUCCGGUGAGUCUGUUUCCAAACCGAACAUGCCCACCACCGCCACCACGACAACACCAACGACUACCACCGGAGAUAAAGCCAAGACGGAGGAGGAGAAGAAGAAACAGAUGUCGGCUGGUGUGAGAGGAAGCCCU